GGAAACAGGUGCUAAUACCGUAUAACACUAUUUUCCGCAUGGAAGAAAGUUGAAAGGCGCUUUUGCGUCACUGAUGGAUGGACCCGCGGUGCAUUAGCUAGUUGGUGAGGUAACGGCUCACCAAGGCCACGAUGCAUAGCCGACCUGAGAGGGUGAUCGGCCACACUGGGACUGAGACACGGCCCAGACUCCUACGGGAGGCAGCAGUAGGGAAUCUUCGGCAAUGGACGAAAGUCUGACCGAGCAACGCCGCGUGAGUGAAGAAGAUUUUCGGAUCGUAAAACUCUGUUGUUAGAGAAGAACAAGGAUGAGAGUAAAAUGUUCAUCCCUUGACGGUAUCUAACCAGAAAGCCACGGCUAACUACGUGCCAGCAGCCGCGGUAAUACGUAGGUGGCAAGCGUUGUCCGGAUUUAUUGGGCGUAAAGCGAGCGCAGGCGGUUUCUUAAGUCUGAUGUGAAAGCCCCCGGCUCAACCGGGGAGGGUCAUUGGAAACUGGGAGACUUGAGUGCAGAAGAGGAGAGUGGAAUUCCAUGUGUAGCGGUGAAAUGCGUAGAUAUAUGGAGGAACACCAGUGGCGAAGGCGGCUCUCUGGUCUGUAACUGACGCUGAGGCUCGAAAGCGUGGGGAGCGAACAGGAUUAGAUACCCUGGUAGUCCACGCCGUAAACGAU
rnacentral:rRNA from 1 species